GAUGAACGCUGGCGGCGUGCUUAAUACAUGCAAGUCGAACGAAUGGAUGUCUAGCUUGCUAGACUGAAGUUAGUGGCGAACGGGUGAGUAAUACAUAGGCAAUCUGCCCUGAAGUGUGGGAUAGCUAUUGGAAACGAUAAUUAAUACCGCAUAGGUAGUAAGAAGGCAUCUUCCUACUAUUAAAGAUGCGUCUGCAUCGCUGCAGGAUGAGCUUAUGGUGUAUUAGCUAGUUGGUGAGAUAAAAGCCCACCAAGGCUAUGAUACAUAGCUGGUCUGAGAGGAUGAACAGCCACAUUGGGACUGAGACACGGCCCAGACUCCUACGGGAGGCAGCAGUAAGGAAUUUUCGGCAAUGGGGGCGAACCCUGACCGAGCAACGCCGCGUGAGUGAUGAAGGUCUUCGGAUCGUAAAACUCUGUUGUAAAGGAAGAAUGUCAUAUAUAGGAAAUGAUAUAUGAGUG
rnacentral:rRNA from 1 species